rnacentral:rRNA from 1 species
UGGGAGUAGGUUCGCAAGAAUGAAACUCAAAGGAAUUAAUGGGGGCCCGCACAAGCAGUGGAGCAUGUGGUUUAAUUUGAUACAAAGCAAAGAACCUUAAGAGGGCUUGACAUGCCGCGAAUCCUCUUGAAAGAGAGGGGUGCCCUCGGGAACGCGGACACAGGUGGUGCAUGGCUGUUGUCAUCUCGUGCCGUAAGGUGUUGGGUUAAGUCUCACAAUGAGCGCCACCCUCGUGUUUAGUUGCCACUAUGAGUUUGGAACCCUGAAAAGACUGCCGGUGUUAAGCCGGAGGAAAGAGAGAAUGAGGCCAAGUCAUCAUGCCCCUUAUGCCCUGGGCGACACACAUGCUACAAUGGGCGGGACAAAGGGUCGCGAUCUCUCAAGGGUGAGCUAAAUCCAAAAACCCGUCCUUAGUUCUGAUUCCAGGCUGCAACUCGCUUGCAUGAAGCAGGAAUCGCUAGUAAUUGUCGGUCAGCCAUACGGCGGUGAAUCCGUUCCCGGGCCUUGUACAUACCGCCCGUCACACUAUAGGAGCUGGCCAUGUUUGAAGUCAUUACCCUUAACCGUAAGGAGGGUGAUGCCUAAGGCUAGGCUUGCGACUGGAGUGAAAUCGUAACAAGGUAGCCGUACUGGAAGGUGCGGCUG